rnacentral:misc_RNA from 1 species
AACGCAUAUUGCGCCUGUCAGCAUUCUGGCAGGCAUGCCUGUUUGAGCGUCAUUACAACCCUCGAGCCCUAGCUGCUUGGUGUUGGAACCUGCUGUAGCUCCGCUGCUGCCGGUUCCGAAAAAUAGUGGCGGACCCGCCGAGGCCCCGAGUGUAGUAGUAUUCUUCUCGUUCAGGGCUGUCCUCGGAGAGUUUCCAGCCGUAAAAUUUGUUUCUACCCCCAAAAGGUUGACCUCAAAUCAGGUAGGAAUACCCGCUGAACUUAA